rnacentral:rRNA from 1 species
AGCCAUAAGAUAACAUUUUUGGUUUAACCUGCCCAAGGUUUAACUUAAUGAAUGGCCGCGGUACUCUGACCGUGCUAAGGUAGCGUAAUCAGUUGGCUUUUAAAUGGAGUCAGGAAUGAAUGGGAUAACCUGGUCUAGCUGUCUCCUGGCUAUUUUAUUUAAUUUACUGAGCAAGUGAAAAAGCUUGUGCCAAUGAAAAGGGACGAGAAGACCCUUAGAAUUUUACUAAAAUAGGGAUUACUUUCUCUUAGUUGUUUUGUUGGGGUGACAAAGAAAUAUAUGGAAACUUUCUUUAUAGACAAGCCGAUUAUAUUAAGAGAGAAUAAAUUACCUGAGGGAUAACAGCAUAAUUCUAAAAAUGAGUUUGUGACCUCGAUGUUGGACUAGGAAACUAGCAGGUUAGCCGUUUGUUGUGUUAGUUCUGUUCGAACUUUAAUUCCU